rnacentral:rRNA from 1 species
ACGGAAGGCAGCAGUGGGGAAUAUUGCACAAUGGGGGAAACCCUGAUGCAGCGAUGCCGCGUGGAGGAAGAAGGUUUUCGGAUUGUAAACUCCUGUCUUAAAGGACGAUAAUGACGGUACUUUAGGAGGAAGCUCCGGCUAACUACGUGCCAGCAGCCGCGGUAAUACGUAGGGAGCGAGCGUUGUCCGGAAUUACUGGGUGUAAAGGGAGCGUAGGCGGGACUGCAAGUCAGAUGUGAAAUGCCGGGGCUUAACCCCGGAGCUGCAUUUGAAACUGCGGUUCUUGAGUGAAGUAGAGGUAAGCGGAAUUCCUAGUGUAGCGGUGAAAUGCGUAGAUAUUAGGAGGAACAUCAGUGGCGAAGGCGGCUUACUGGGCUUUAACUGACGCUGAGGCUCGAAAGCGUGGGGAGCAAACAGGAUUAGAUACCCUGGUA